rnacentral:rRNA from 1 species
AUUGAACGCUGGCGGCAUGCCUUACACAUGCAAGUCGAACGGCAGCACGGGAGCAAUCCUGGUGGCGAGUGGCGAACGGGUGAGUAACGCAUCGGAACGUGCCCAGUCGUGGGGGAUAACGUAGAGAAAUUUACGCUAAUACCGCAUACGAUCUAUGGAUGAAAGCAGGGGAUCGCAAGACCUUGCGCGAUUGGAGCGGCCGAUGUCAGAUUAGGUAGUUGGUGGGGUAAAGGCCCACCAAGCCGACGAUCUGUAGCUGGUCUGAGAGGACGACCAGCCACACUGGGACUGAGACACGGCCCAGACUCCGACGGGAGGCAGCAGUGGGGAAUUUUGGACAAUGGGCGAAAGCCUGAUCCAGCCACGCCGCGUGCAGGAUGAAGGCCUUCGGGUUGUAAACUGCUUUUGUACGGAACGAAAAGCUCUGGGUUAAUACCCUGGGGUCAUGACGGUACCGUAAGAAUAAGCACCGGCUAACUACGUGCCAGCCGCCGCCGUAACAC